AAGUAGGCAAUACUCCAAAGAUUUUGCCAAAUGGUAGUUUAAGUCCACUGAAACAUAUUCAAAUGGUAGUUUCAGUCCACUGAAACAUAUCAGUCAUCUAGGAUGAAGAGGAUGAAACUGUGUCUGCUGCCUUUACAGAGGGGGAUCCAGAAAGGCACACAGAGGUAUGUUACUGAUAGUUCUCUUCCCAUUCACAUUUCUGAACAUUCUGGUGGAAUAUAGAGUGUGACAUUUAGCCUACACUGAAGUAUUGCACAUUCUCAUCCUUUUUAACAGAGCAUGGCUGGACAGCAGCAGGAUGCUUCCUCAACUUCCACUGCACAGAUUGACUCAGUAAGAUGGAUGUUCAGUAAACACCAGAGGUUCAUUCUGUGGAAUUCAUGUGCAACUGUAUCAUUUAAUCUCCUUUAUGUAUUCCCAGUUAUCAGUAAAACAGAUUUACAAAAUCCACUUGCUGACAAAAAUCCAAAAAACAGAUAAAGAAAUGCAGUACUUGGACCGCCAGAUUAAGAAGGCAGAUCUGGAAAUUGAAAUACUGGAGCACAAGUUAGAGGUUUCCCAGAGACUAUGGGUUGAGGAGGAAGUGGAAGUUUGUCGGCUUAGACCUGGUGUCAUUCCAUCAGUGUUAAACUUCCCGGCUCAUCUUGGAAGAGUACGUGCCAGAAAGACCACGACCAAGCAGCCUUGAGAUCUUAGACAGCAUCUCCCUGAGGUCCCUCUCUAUCUCCCCACACAUCCACCAACCACUGGAACACAUCUCCAAAGUUCUGCUGGUCCAGCUCAGCUUCCCCUCAGAAGAAGUGCUGCCACCUGCCAGAUGAAGGAGCCUAUUGAGAGGCAGCUGGCAUCGUGAUUGGACUGUACUUUGGUCUGUUCCAAUCCAGCUUCAGCUCCAGAGACGGCAGGUGGGACGAGUCAAUGGAGGCCAGGUGGAUGAAGACAUGAAGCUGAGUACAAUCCAGAAAACAACAGAGGAGGAGUGAAGCAGCCCAGAGCCAGAACAACCAGAGUAGCAUCGUAUGUCUCUUAGAAAACAUCAUAGUAUAGCCUUUGGUAUGAAAAAACGCCAUCAUAUACAUCGUAUAUUGUACAAAUAACAAGUCAAAGGAAAGAGACAUACAUUGUAGAAUUGUAGUAAUUGUGGGCUGACUGAUUUGCUGAUUAUCAGUAUUUUAUUUUUUACUGAUUUACGGUAAUAAAUACAUUUAAAAAUGGUG